CACAGAGUUAGCCGGUGCUUAUUCUGCGAGUAACGUCCACUAUCCUAGAGUAUUAAUCCAAGUAGCCUCCUCCUCGCUUAAAGUGCUUUACAACCAAAAGGCCUUCUUCACACACGCGGCAUGGCUGGAUCAGGCUUCCCCCCAUUGUCCAAUAUUCCCCA
rnacentral:rRNA from 1 species